rnacentral:rRNA from 1 species
GACAGAGGGGGCAAGCGUUGCUCGGAAUUACUGGGCGUAAAGGGCGCGUAGGCGGGAUGGCAAGUCGGUCGUGAAAUCCCUCGGCUCAACCGAGGAACGUCGAUCGAUACUGCUGUUCUUGAGGAUUGCAGAGGAGACUGGAAUUCCCGGUGUAGCGGUGAAAUGUGUAGAGAUCGGGAGGAACACCGGUGGCGAAGGCGGGUCUCUGGGCAAUUCCUGACGCUGAGGCGCGAAAGCGUGGGGAGCAAAAGGG